ACUCCUACGGGAGGCAGCAGUAAGGAAUAUUGCGCAAUGGGCGAUAGCCUGACGCAGCGACGCCGCGUGGGGGAUGAAGGUCUUCGGAUUGUAAACCCCUUCCGGCAGGGAAGAUGGAACGGGCAACCGUUCGGACGGUACCUGCAGAAGCAGCCACGGCUAACUUCGUGCCAGCAGCCGCGGUAAUACGAAGGUGGCAAGCGUUGUUCGGAUUUACUGGGCGUACAGGGAGCGUAGGCGGUUCGGUAAGCCCUCUGUGAAAUCUCCGGGCCUAACCCGGAAAGUGCGGAGGGGACUGCUCGGCUAGAGGAUGGGAGAGGAGCGCGGAAUUCCCG
rnacentral:rRNA from 1 species